rnacentral:rRNA from 1 species
AUUGAACGCUGGCGGCAGGCCUAACACAUGCAAGUCGAGCGGAUGACGGGAGCUUGCUCCUUGAUUCAGCGGCGGACGGGUGAGUAAUGCCUAGGAAUCUGCCUGGUAGUGGGGGACAACGUUUCGAAAGGAACGCUAAUACCGCAUACGUCCUACGGGAGAAAGCAGGGGACCUUCGGGCCUUGCGCUAUCAGAUGAGCCUAGGUCGGAUUAGCUAGUUGGUGAGGUAAUGGCUCACCAAGGCUACGAUCCGUAACUGGUCUGAGAGGAUGAUCAGUCACACUGGAGCUGAGACACGGUCCAGACUCCUACGGGAGGCAGCAGUGGGGAAUAUUGGACAAUGGGCGAAAGCCUGAUCCAGCCAUGCCGCGUGUGUGAAGAAGGUCUUCGGAUUGUAAAGCACUUUAAGUUGGGAGGAAGGGCAGUAAGUUAAUACCUUGCUGUUUUGACGUUACCGACAGAAUAAGCACCGGCUAACUUCGUGCCAGCCGCCGCCGUAAAAC